rnacentral:rRNA from 1 species
AUUGAACGCUGGCGGCAUGCCUUACACAUGCAAGUCGAACGGUAACAGGCCGCAAGGUGCUGACGAGUGGCGAACGGGUGAGUAAUGCAUCGGAACGUGCCCCGUCGUGGGGGAUAACUGCUCGAAAGAGCAGCUAAUACCGCAUACGACCUGAGGGUGAAAGCGGGGGACCGUAAGGCCUCGCGCGAUUGGAGCGGCCGAUGUCAGAUUAGGUAGUUGGUGAGGUAAAGGCUCACCAAGCCGACGAUCUGUAGCUGGUUUGAGAGGACGACCAGCCCCCCUGGGACUGAGACCCGGCCCCGACUCCUACGGGAGGCAGCCGUGGGGAAUUUUGGACAAUGGACGCAAGUUUGAUCCAGCCCUGCCGCGUGCGGGAAGAAGGCCUUCGGGUUGUAAACCGCUUUUGUCAGGGAAGAAAAGGUUCCUUUUAAUAAAGGGGACUCAUGACGGUACCUGAAGAAUAAGCACCGGCUAACUACGUG